rnacentral:lncRNA from 1 species
CGGGCUGCACAGAGGGGUCGGAUGUGGGGCGAGUUGGGCAGAAGAGGAACCGCAGAUGCCGGGUGGCGGGAGAGGGGCUGGGGCUGCAGGGAGACAGGACCCGAUUUCUGCCUAGCAACAUCACAACCAAUCAAGAUGCAAUUAAACCUGUCAGUUCGGCUCAUCCUUAACUGGGAUUGGCUACUCGCAGUAUGCUUAUCCCAAGUUUUCAUUGGCUGACGGCCACCUGUAUGGAAAUAAGAAUUACCCGGGACUCUCAGGCCCUUCUCAGCAGUACGGACCUGUGGCUUAGUGCGCUGAAACCUGCAAGGUCGGAGCCGAAACUCCUGGGCUUGCUUGUUGUCCUGCCUUCUCUUCCUCAAAGGAGAUCUCUUGAAUAUUCCCUUUUCCCUCUGCGCCCCUGCCUAAGGCCUAGUCUGAAAGAAGUCCGACCAAAUAACCUGAAAUAAUGCGGAUUUGCAUGCUUUCUGCAUCUUCUUUGCAUUCUCUAGGUUCAAGGUCAAGAUUUUGCCCCUUCCCUCCAAUGCCGCCAGUGUUCUAGCCCCUUUCUUCCACGUCCACCUAAGGGGCAGCUUCUCUCCGUGUGAAGUUCCUCCGUCCCGCCCCGGGUUUGCCAAAACCCUCCCUUCUGGCUCAGCUUCCUCAAUUCCCUACCGCCCCCUCCUCCAUUUCAAGAUCCAGGCAUCUCGCACAACAAUCCAGUUUAGGAGGGAGUUAGAGGGGGAGAGGAACCCCCCCCCAAAAAAAACCCUCCAUCCUCUCUCCUCAUCCAUUUUCUCCGAGGGAGCCGAGUUUGACAGCAAAUUCAUUCCGAGCGGGGAGGGUGAUUUAUUUUUCAAAUAUACCGACAAGUGCGGGCAUGAUGGAGCCCAUUAAAAUGUUGGGAGAUUGUUUUUAUGAUUGAAGUCUGUAUUACUCCAACCAUAAAGAAAGAGAGCAAGG